GGGAGACCAGCGCACAAUGUAGAAUCUUAGAGCUGCCCGGGCUCUGGUGGUGCUGCCCUCGCACUGGUACCGGGGCCCCAGGGAGAGGUGGAUGCACGGGAGCCAGGUUCAGAAGGGUUCUUGAAAAGCCCCCUGGCUGAAGAAACAGAGGCAUCAGACAGUGUUGACGGAGGUCAUGAUUCUGUCAUUUUGGAUCCAGAGAGACUUGAGCCCAGGCUGGAUGAGGAGGACACGGACUUUGAGGAGGAAGACAGCAGUCCUAACUGGGUGUCAGAACUGAAGCGGCGAGCUGGCUGGCAGGGACCGUCUGAUGGAAUGAAGAGGAGGAAACUGGAUAUUGUUCCUGAUUAGGACCAUGAGGUUUAAAAAUUGACAACUAUUGUUCUUGAACUCAGAGGAGAAGGUAGGGCCCAGGGGGCGUGGGCUUCGGGCCUGUGGUCUGAACAGAACCCGGAUGCUGCGGCUUAGUGUCUGCGGAAUCUCAGGGAACCACUAACCUCUUUGAGCCGAAUUCCCUCCCCUCUGCAACGAGGAUGCCAAAGCUGCCUCCCUGGCCACUAGAGCCGCCAUGAUGUUACUGUUUGAGUUACGAUCUGUGUUUCUUACUGUGUAGCUCUUUUUACAUUUCCUAAAGGUUUCAGGGCCUAAAAAUAUUUAAUUGUAACUAAUGAUGUGAUUUUUCAGUAAGACCUGCUUCUGGGUAGUGACCAGUGAUCUGCAGUGACCUUCAGUUCCCAGCCAUCCUUAGAUACAGCCCCCCACGGAUGCACGUGCCAGCCACGGGAAGGGUGGAGUGGGCUGCAGGACUUGUCCAAAGUUAGCAGGCCGGUUAUAGGAGAAAAGAAGAGGCCAAAGGACCUGGGCAUUUUUGAGGAGUGCUGGUGGAAUCUCUCCGUUUGGUUUGUCUGGUAUUGUUCUUAUAAAGGAGGCAGAGCUAAAUGAAGGGCCUUGGGAAGGAAUGUCGCCGGGAGCGGAGCCUUCCCGUCUGCCUGUGACUGCUGCUGGCCUUGUCGUUAAGGCAGCGCCUGCCGGUUUUCCUAAUAAGAUGAAAGUCACGUGACUCUCUAGCAUCUUACUGUGCUGAUGGACAGUGACUGUAAUGGGGUGUGUGGUGGGGACUUGGUGAUGGGGGGAAUCUAGUAACCACAGUGUUGCUCGUGUGAUUGUAUAUUAAUGAUACCAAAAGAAAAAAAACACUAAAAGGCUGGGGAACCAUUGUUUUAAAGAGGCUGAGAAACUGAUCUUUUUUCCAGUUUUUUUUUUGUGGCAAAAUACACAUGACAUAAAAUUUACCAUCUUAACCAUUUUGUAAGUGUUCAGUACAGUGGCUUUAAGCACAUUCACAUUGGUGUGUGGCCAUCCCCACCAUCCUCAUCUCCCCAAACUGAAACCA